rnacentral:rRNA from 1 species
UACGAACGCUGGCGGCAGGCUUAACACAUGCAAGUCGAACGCCCCGCAAGGGGAGUGGCAGACGGGUGAGUAACGCGUGGGAACGUACCUUUCAGUUCGGAAUAACUCAGGGAAACUUGUGCUAAUACCGGAUACGCCCGCAAGGGGAAAGAUUUAUCGCUGAAAGAUCGGCCCGCGUUGGAUUAGCUAGUUGGUGGGGUAAAGGCCUACCAAGGCGACGAUCCAUAGCUGGUCUGAGAGGAUGAUCAGCCACACUGGGACUGAGACACGGCCCAGACUCCUACGGGAGGCAGCAGUGGGGAAUUUUGGACAAUGGGGGAAACCCUGAUCCAGCAACGCCGCGUGAAUGAAGAAGGCCUUAGGGUUGUAAAGUUCUUUUGUCAGGGAAGAAAGUUUCUGUGCUAAUAUCAUAGAACGAUGACGGUACCUGAAGAAUAAGCACCGGCUAACUACGUGCCAGCAGCCGCGGUAAUGUACAGUGU